AUGCUUGGAAGAAAAAUAGUCGACUCCACCCUGGAUUAUCCUAUUUUAUGAUUUUUCAGUACUAAAUCAACGACU